CUAUAUAAGGAGCGAGGUGGAGGUUGAACGCCGCCAUUGCUCCGCUAUCGCGCGCCCUUGACGCAGUUGUCCUGAGGGAGGAAACAUUUUAAAAAAAUCCCCCCCCUAAAACCAUUAGACGGCUGUUGUCGAUUACGCCCUUUGUCGUCGUUUUGUUAAUAACAAUAAACAAACAAUCGCCGUGAAGAUGUCCGCGUUGGCUGUGAUGCGCGGCCUGGCGGGCCUCAGACGCCCCCUGACGCGAUCGGUCUCCUCGCUGCCCGCGGAGCACGCGAUUGGUGGAGCGGGGACGGUGAUCGGGCUGGGAGCGAUGGCAGCCACGCUGCUGAUCCCCAGCUGCUGGGUGCUGUGCCACAUGGAGUACUACAAGAAGCGGGAGUGAGACGCAUUAACGAGGACGGACGAGGAGGAGGAGGAGGAGGAGGGAGACGUGGGUGAGGAGAGAUGGAGACCCCCGGGGGGGAGGCGAAGAGGAGAUGGACAAAUCCCCUACCAGCCACUCGCCCCGGCUUGCAUCCA